rnacentral:lncRNA from 1 species
ACAGUGACCAGAGCCACUGCAGUCAGAUUCUUAACCUACUGCGCCACACUGGGAACUACAACCUUCAAUUACUCUUUUUUUUUUUUUUUUUAGGUUCCCAGGCUAGAGGUCAAAUCAGAGCUAAAGCUGCCAGCCUACGCAUGCCAUAGCCACAGCAAUGCCACAUGUGUGACCUAUGCUGCAGCUCAUGGCAAUGCCAGAUCCUUAACCCACUGAGUGGGGUCAGGGAUCGAACCCAUAUCCUCACAGAUAUUAGUCAGGUUCAUUUCUGCUCAGCCACAAUGGGAACUCCCAACCUUCAAUUAUUCUUAAUUUGAUUAUUUAUGAAUUUUUGAUUUAAGAGAUAAUAGGAUGUAAGCAAGACAGCAAUUAUCCGUCAGCAUUAUUAUCAACAAGAAAUAUUUUUCUACCUUACUGGCCUUUUUUUGGUAAACAAUAUCUGCAUUAUAGUGCCAAAAACUAACUAAGGAGGAAAAAAAAAAUCUUUAAAACACAAGAGAGUACAAAAUACAAAAUACAUACAAAAUAUGAGAAAUAAUAUAUAACAGAAUGGAAAAGUUGGGUAAAGAGAAUAGUUAGAAAUCAAGUGGCAAAAGAGAUUCCACUACGUUGCCAAAAGGAAAAAACACCAAAACAAUUUCUUUAGACUGUUGAACAAAAUUUUGGCAACUAGCAGGAUCUCUUAGGAGCUUGAAUAAAAUUCUGGCAAUUAUUUUCUCUCCAGUGAUUCUAGGCUCUGAUUUGGGUCAUUACACUGGAGGCAGGAAUUCCAUUUCAUUAAAACAAAACUCAUAUAAAAGAAUUUCAUAAUCUCAGUACACUUGAAAAUAAGUCAGAAAAGGAAAAGACUGUAAAAUAAAUAUCUAAACAUUCAGUUGAAUCAAAAGAUUACAUGAAGUCUGUUUUCUAAAUAGUUUGUGUUUUAAAAAUGGAUCUAUAAAUAAUUGCUCACAAAGAGUUCCCGUUGUGGUGCAUCGGAAACAAAUCUGACUAGGAACCAUGAGGUUGCAGGGUUCAAUCCCUGGCCCCACUCAGUGGGUUAAGGAUCUGACAUUGCUGUGGCUGUGGUGUAGGCCGGCAACUGUAGCUCUGAUUCAACCUCUAGCCUGGGAAGCUCCACAUGCCACAAGUAUGGCCCUGAAAGCAAAAAACAAAACAAAGACCACCCCCCAAAAAAAACGCUCACAAGUCAAAAGAAAUUUUUUCACAUAGAAUAUGUUCUGAUAGAUGAUCUGAUCAGUUGAAUUGAAAUGGAAUGAAUCAGGGAUUCUAAACGUUAGCCUGUGCCUCCUGCUGCCAACUGGGAAGACAAAAGCAAGCCUGGCCGGGGUGCGGAGGUGGGGGCAAAAGGACACCUCACAUGAGGAACUCUUUAUUUAUUUUUGUCUUUUUGCCAUUUCUUGGGCCGCUCCCGCGGCAUAUGGAGACCAAAAAACAAAAAAAAAAAAACAAAACAAAAAGUCUACAAACAAUAAAUGCUGGAGAGGUUGUGGAGAAAAGAGAACCCUCUUACACUGUUGGUAGGAAUGUACCCUGGUGCAGUCACUAUGGAAAACUGUAUGGAGACGCCUCAAAAAGCUUAAUAUGGAACUACCAUAUGAUCCAACAAUCCCACUCCUGGGCAUCUAUCCAGAGAAAACCUCAAUUCAAGAACAUGCCUGCACCCCAGUGUUCACUGCAGCACUAUGUACAACAGCCAAGACAUGGAAGCAACCUAUGUACAUCUAGAGGAGUGGAUAAAGAAGAUGUGGCACAUAUAUACAGUGGAAUAUUACUCAUCCACAAAAAAAGAACGAAAUAAUGCCACUUGUAGCAACAUGGAUGGACCUAGAAAUUCUCAUACCAAGUGAAGUAAGACAGAGAAAGACAAAUACAUGACAUCACUAACACGUGGAAUCUUAACAAAAAUGACACAAAAGAACUUACAAAACAGAAACAGACUCAGAUUUUGAAACCAAAUUCAUGGUUACCAAAGGGGAAAUGUUGGGAAGCGGGGGAUAAAUUAGAGGUCGGGGAUGACAUAUACACACUAUUAUAAAUAAAAUAGGUAACAAGCACCUAUUGUAGAGCAUAG